rnacentral:misc_RNA from 1 species
AACGCACAUUGCGCCCCUUGGUAUUCCAGGGGGCAUGCCUGUUCGAGCGUCAUUUGUACCCUCAAGCUCUGCUUGGUGUUGGGUGUUUGUCUCGCGGAUCUGCGUAGACUCGCCUUAAAACAAUUGGCAGCCGGCAUGUUAGCCUGGAGCGCAGCACAUAUUGCGCCUCAUGCUAGCGAAUGUUGGCCCCCAUCAAGUCCAUUUAUUUGCUCUUGACCUCGGAUCAGGUAGGGAUACCCGCUGAACUUAA